ACGGCCAUAGCCUCCCCAAAGAACCGCGUCCCGUCCGAUCCGCGAAGUGAAUCAGGAGAGCGAUCGGUCAGUACCAGGGUGGGGGACCACCUGGGAAUCCCGGUUGCCGUCGUUUUCU
rnacentral:rRNA from 1 species